CCCUGGUUAGCUCAGUUGGUAGAGCGCUCCUCCUCCAAUGGAGAGGUCCCGGGUUCGAUACCCGGACCAGGCG
rnacentral:tRNA from 1 species